rnacentral:rRNA from 1 species
UACAGAGGGUGCAAGCGUUGUUCGGAAUUAUUGGGCGUAAAGGGCGCGUAGGCGGUGCCACAAGUCACCUGUGAAAUCUCCGGGCUUAACUCGGAGCCUGCAGGCGAAACUGUGGUGCUGGAGUGUGGGAGAGGUGCGUGGAAUUCCCGGUGUAGCGGUGAAAUGCGCAGAUAUCAGGAGGAACACCGGUGGCGAAGGCGGAUCUCUGGGCCGAUACUGACGCUGAGGAGCGAAAGCGUGGGGAGCGAACAGG